CACAAUUCUACCUUGAUGACUCCAAUUCCAGCAGAAUUCCAACAGCGACCUUUGGCGUUUUGGCUCGUGUGCGACGUAGAAAGAUCCGAUUUCUGUGAAACUUGGUUUGGUGGUUAGUAGACUUCUUGGAGAUUUCGUGAAACCAAUUUGACAGAAAUUGAUUGAGGUUAGUUUGGUCAAAUUGAUAUUUUUCUGAACUGCUGGUGUAUUUGGGCUGAAAUUAAGAUUUUUAUGAUUUUCUUGGAUCA
rnacentral:lncRNA from 1 species